ensembl:lncRNA
AUGAUUAUAACUUUUUUAAAUACAUUUGUUUUGUUUUUUAGGGUGGCCAGCAUGAUACAGCAGUUUGUUGCUGGGAUGGAUGCAUUUGGACAGCUGUGGCAAACAGUACAGAGGAACUGUAUUAACUUUAUGCCAAUGUUCACAUACACACAUGAAAAACUCUCCCGAAGUGAUAUUCGGGACAUGUUCAACAUCAGAUGGAGUCCACAAGGCUGCAAUAAUAGAGAGAGGGAGGAGGACACCAUCUUUCUCUGGGAGUGUUGGCUGAUGUCUAUUGAAAAUAAAGACCUAGACAUUACCUUUGAAGAAAUUCUGAUCUUCGCAACGGGAGCUGAUUCUGUACCCCCUCUCGGUUUUCCACGAGAGUGUGAGAUCCAGUUCUAUGAUCAAGAGCCAGGAAGCCAGCGGAUUCCUUACUCCUCAACCUGUGCCCUUGUUCUGUAUUUGCCCAGAGGUAUUACAGAAGAAACUGAUUUUAAAGAGCUCAUGCUGCUGGCCUUAAAAUGCUCAUUUGGUUUUGGGAAGGCUUAAAUGUUGUAUGUGACAUUGCUGAUAUGAAUUUGAAUGUAAUUUUUUAUUUUUUUUUUUGGUUCAAAUAAGUCUCUUCUGCUUUAUUUGAUUAGAAAAAACAGUAAAACAUUUUGUGUAAUGUUAUUACAAAUUCAACAACUGUUUAUAUGUAAACAUGUCAUUGAUUUCUUUGAUUAAAGCUGAAUUUUCAACAUCAUUACUCCAGUCUUCCGUGUGACAUGAUCUUCAGAAGUCAUUCUAAUACGCUUAUUUGCUGCUGAAGAAACAUUAUAGUACAAGAGUAGUAGUAAGAACUCUAAUUUUCUUCACUAUGUUGCAAAGCAUAGACAUUUUUGUCUCCUCUAUUUCAGGAAAAUAUGUGAAGAAUGGGCUAUGUGAAGAAAUCGAGAACCUUUUAUGUCUACCGGCCAGUGAUGAUUCUGAAAGAACAUACCUGGAAUCUGUUGCUACAGUAACGAACGCAAAUUCAUGCUCAUGCGUGAUUUUAUUUCAGUGCAGUUGUUAAGAUUGUGGUUAUUUCAGCAAACAGUUUUACAUAUUUUAACAGUGUUUAGAUAAACUUUUCUAUAUCAUUCAAUGGUACUAUUUAGAGAUCAAUGAUACACACACAUUUUAGACACUUAUUAGGCUAACUUGAUAUGACAGGUUGGAAAACAUCACGUUGACUCUAAAACCUGAUGCGAAAAUGUCAGUCAUUGCAGUCAAAUAUUGAGAUGAACUUUAUAAAGUAUCAUCUAUUUAUAUUAAAUUAAUAUGUUAAAUUGGUAUCUUCUCCUAUACCCAUUUUGUGAUCAUUUUGUUUUCAAUCAGCUGAAAUGAUUCGGGACAUCCACAUUUAACUUGAAAAAGGCAUAACGUGGCUUAAUGCUUUAAAACUGCAUUUUAAAAAGACCAAAACAUUAGGCAUAUAUAAAUAAAGCAUUCUAUUCACAGACA